GUGUAUUUCGAGUCUCGGUCGCGGGGCUUGUGCGUGGGGUCCCUGGUGUCUCGCGUUGUGGUGCUAACUGCUGCGGUAUGCGUUACAGGCCCUAAUGUGCACGACAGACGACCCAUCACCGUUGUCACCGGCACCCGCUACCGGCACCCCUCGAGAGGCGUUCGGGUGCCAGUUAUGAGAGUCCUGAUGCCCAAACUUCCAGAAGACACCGAUGAAAGAAGCUAUAUGCUGCAGAAGUCAGUAGCGCUCCUCCUGUUGCAAAGACGCAUUCCUGAUAUAAUGGUCGAGCAACCGCUGCGAGCUAUCGGCAUUGACUACACGGGGGAAGACCUGCUAACUGGGCAGGACGAGUGCGUCGUGGUCGGCUGGCAUUUCUUAUAUGCAG